UACGGAGGGGGCUAGCGUUAUUCGGAAUUACUGGGCGUAAAGCGCACGUAGGCGGCUUUGUAAGUUAGAGGUGAAAGCCCGGAGCUCAACUCCGGAAUUGCCUUUAAGACUGCAUCGCUAGAAUCAUGGAGAGGUUAGUGGAAUUCCGAGUGUAGAGGUGAAAUUCGUAGAUAUUCGGAAGAACACCAGUGGCGAAGGCGGCUCACUGGACUGGUAUUGACGCUGAGGUGCGAAAGCGUGGGGAGCAAACAGG
rnacentral:rRNA from 1 species